rnacentral:lncRNA from 1 species
ACUGCCCCCUUAGAGAUGACCAAGACAGAACCUGACGACAUCUGCUAGUUGUGUGCGCACUCGGAGAGCUGCGGUUACGUGCAGCGACUGUGAGCAUCCCUGAGGUUGCCAUGGAGAUGCCAGGGCUGGCUGUGAGACACAUCGACCACGGCUGUACCCACAGCAGAGCCCCUUGCAUCCCUCCCAGGGACAUCGGCUGCACGUGGUUUGGGUGGGAGGAGGCUCAGGACGCUGCUGCUCGGAGAGGUGGGAGCAAUGGUCUAUGAAGGUGUAAAAGUUGCAUGCAGCAGAAAUGGGAAACUUGCAGUAACUGGCUCAGGACAGUGGCCAGGAGCUCCAAAGGCUGCUGCCUCCAGACUCCAACCAGAAACGUCACUGCUUUACCUCUUGGCUCAGAGUCCAGGGACAGCCACACUCAUGGGGGAUGGCAGGAUGCUGGGAGCUUCUUCUGGAUCCCUCCAGCCCAAUGGCAAAGCCUUGGGUUCAGCAUCCCCCCCCAUGUGCUGGUGAGCACGUGCUCCUCUGAUGCCAAAAAAAAAUAUAUGGAAG